rnacentral:rRNA from 1 species
UGUAGAGUGCAUUUUUUAGAGAUAGAAAUUCCCUUCGGGCUUUCUGCAAGGUGCUGCAUGGUUGUCGUCAGCUCGUGCCGUGAGGUGUCGGGUUAAGUCCCAUAACGAGCGCAACCCUUAUCGUUAGUUGCCAUCUGGUAAUGCAGGGGACUCUAGCGAAACUGCCACCGUAAGGUGAGAGGAAGGUGGGAUGACGUCAAAUCAGCACGGCCCUUAUGUCCAGGGCUACACACGUGUUACAAUGGUCGGUACAGAGGGCAGCUACCUGGUGACAGGAUGCUAAUCUCGAAAAACCGGUCUCAGUUCGGAUCGAAGUCUGCAACUCGACUUCGUGAAGCUGGAUUCGCUAGUAAUCGCGCAUCAGCUAUGGCGCGGUGAGUACGUUCCCGGGCCUU